CAAAUGGAGAAUCUAUGAUGUUUAUGCAGCUUUUCUUCCUCUUUACCCGGAAAGGAAUCCUUUGUUGCCUGUGCGGGCUUAUGGCUGCUUUGAUCAACAGAGUACGGCAAAAUCCACACCAUGUGACUUCUGAGGCCAGGUAAUAAAAGACCAGGCAAUCCCCAUCUGGCCCUCACAGAAUGCUCCCUCUGGGAAUACUUGCUUCAGGAGCCCAGUCACAGGCUGUGAGGAAGCCCAAGCCACAUGGAGAGGCCGUGUGUAGGCACUCUGGCUCCAGGUGCCCAGCUGAGCCCAGCCUUCAAGUUGUCUCAGCCUAGAUGCCAGAUGAUGCUGAUCACAAGUCCUGGGCCCCUCAUACUUCUGACCAACUGACGAACUCCCAGUCAGCAAGUGAACGGGAUGGAACUGAACCCAAGUUUAACACCAAAGAUCACAUUCUGCCUGGCUGCCUCCUCCUGCCAGAAACCUGAAGGAGAACUACAUCAGAAAUCCUCAUCCCUGAAAACGGGAAAGGUAAACAGCAUCCUCAACUAUAAAAGCCCUAAGUUGCCAGUAUUUAGUUCCCCCAAGAUUAGGAGAAAUAACACAUAAGGUCCUGGAUUAACAAAUGAGCAUCAGAUCUGAGUGCCCAUAGCCAGGGGGAAAAAUCAAGAAGCAGAUCUGAAAGAAAAGGAAAUCCUCUCCUCAUCCCUUUUCUUUUGUCUCCAAAGGGACUUUCUGUCUCCAGAGGGCUCUGCACUGAAGA